rnacentral:tRNA from 1 species
ACUUUGAUAGCUCAGUGGUCAAGUAUUUGACUGGUAAUCAGGAGGUCAGAGGUUCGAAUCCCAGCCAAGGCA